rfam:Egretta garzetta contig38112, whole genome shotgun sequence.
GUGAGGUGAUGACGAAGUUUAUCCAUUCUCUGAGUGCAGUGGUGCUGCCCUCCUGCAGCACCCUGAUUCCUGUUCUAGGCUCUGGGUGCUGCGCAGCCUCCAGAGACCCUCCAGUCUCCCAGUGUCCUACUGGGGGCUGCUGGGGUGUGUGGCUGGGGGCCGCGGUUCUGGCAGGGUUGGAGCCUCUCUUUGCGGGGGGCUCCAUCCUCACUGAGAUGAGGGAUAAUGUCUGAUCAC